rnacentral:rRNA from 1 species
UACAGAGGGGGCAAGCGUUGUUCGGAAUUACUGGGCGUAAAGGGCUCGUAGGCGGCCAACUAAGUCAGACGUGAAAUCCCUCGGCUUAACCGGGGAACUGCAUCUGAUACUGGAUGGCUUGAGAUUGGGAGAGGGAUGCGGAAUUCCAGGUGUAGCGGUGAAAUGCGUAGAUAUCUGGAGGAACACCGGUGGCGAAGGCGGCAUCCUGGACCGGUAUUGACGCUGAGGCGCGAAAGCCAGGGGAGCAAACGGGG